ACAGAAAAAGCCAAACUCGCUGUGAGGCGGGGACGGAAAGCCACGGGUCUUCAAGGUUGAGGGAGAUAGCCGGGUUGCCUGGA
rnacentral:ncRNA from 1 species